CCUGUAUACAACAUAUACAACCUUUGCAUCAUUUCUUGAAUCCUUUAAUCCAAAAAGAAGCUCUCAAGAAAGAGUAACAAGCAAGCUAAUGAUGGUUUUGAAGACUUGUUUCCUAAGUUAUCUCAUUGUCACCUCACUUGUAUCAUCAUCCUUUGCAGCCCGUUGCGGAUCGUCCAUUCCUUUGAUGAAGCUUGAUGCAAGUGAUCAAAAUCAGGAAUCUUUAUAUUCAGAAGAUGAUGAUACAAGUUUAAAGAGGGAUGAUAUGAUUCAUGAGAGGCUGCUAAGGGCAAAUACAAGAGAUUAUGGACGAUCGGAUCCUGCACCGACAUUCCACAAGCCCCCGUUUAAACUCAUACCAAACUAGCAUCCAUUUAGAGCUCCGUGUGUUCGUGUUCGAGGCACGUUUAUGGAUGAAACUAGAAAGAAACUAUCGGCGAAGCGAUUCCGGUCUUGGAGUAUUACAUAUAUAUGUGUUACCCUAUAAGUUUUCGAGAUAAUACUCAGCUCUAUAUGUAUAAUUAUAUACAUAAGUAUAUGUGACUGCAUGUGUUGUAGCUAGGGUUAUGCUGCUCAGCAAUCAUGCAACAUGCAUGUAAUAUAUUUUGAAAUUAGGGAUGUGUGUUUGGUAUUAUAUAUUUAAGUCUUUGAAGCAUGCAUCAUCAUGCAUGUAAAGUAUUUUGAAAUUAAGGAUGUGUGGUUAUCUUUUUUAA